rnacentral:tRNA from 1 species
GCUCGUGUAGUGUAGUGGCGAUCACGCAUGAUUUUGAGGCACCCGUUUCUUCAUGAUGUCCCUGGUUCAAACCCAGGCACGAGCU